ensembl:lncRNA
GGAGUUUCUGCGGUUGUGGAUAGGAGACGGAGUGAGUUCUGUUUCUUUGUCGGGCCCUGACGCUGCUGAGGCUGAGAAGCGGCUGCUGUGAGACCUUUCGCGGUAAGGACCAGCCCAAACAGGCUGAGCGAGGGCUGCAGCAGAGGCUCUCAUCGGCCCGAAGCAGUGAGCUCGUGGAAGCGGAAAGACAGACCGGCCAGGCGGUGGAGUCUCUCUUCGAGGGAGAGAACGGGAACGUAUCGAGCUCCACCUAGGGGUGAAUGAAGAACCAGCGGAGCGUUUGUGCGUGAGGCUGAAGAGGCAGCUGGAAAUGGUGCCCACAGCUGUGAGGCUAGUUCUCAUGGUAGGCUCCAGGAGUUUCCUGCAAUGUGUCAAAGUGGUUUCUGCUGAGAGUGCUCCUGGGGAACCUGGGGUCCUGGAGGAGAGAGUCCCUGAGGAAGGAUGUCUUCCCCUCAGUUGCGGAGGAGCUGGUCAAAGGUACCUGAAGACUGGAGGAUGGCGGAUGCCACCGCAGCCUUCAGAAAGGGUGUGGAGGAUGGCGUGUGCAACUUGGAGGUAGGUUGGCCUCAUGUCUGUUCCUGGGGAGGUGACGCAACAGCUUGUUGCAGGUGUCAUUGCCAUGUGACUGGAGGAGAAGGUAUUUGCAAGGAGCAGUCCAGGUGGAUGGACAGAGGAGAAGUCAUGCCGGACCAAAAGGUAGCUUUGUGCGUUGUCUUGAUUGUGCAGUUAGAGGAGAGGAGGGUGGCAGAUAGCAAUGCCUGCUGUGCAGGAGCCCAGUUGAUGGGGAUGAGUGGCGUGUGUGUGGCAGUAGGGGGGCAGUGUGCAUGUUUGGUAUCACCAGAAUUUCUCAUUCAAGAGGAAGAAGAAUGAUUUCCCUGUGAGCGGGAUGGGAGAGGAGUGCCUGGGGAGGUUGUGGAGUCCGGUUCCCCGGGCCCCGUUCCAGUUGCGUGUGGGUGCUUUGCAGUGGGGCCUUGGCAUUCUGUCUGGCUGUGUGAUCUGUGCUCUUGUUGCAGGGUGAAGGCUGCAGAGAGGAUUGGCUGGAGCAGGUGUGCAGUUUUCCCAGUGGUGGGAUGAAGGAGGUUCAGGCUGGAGGCAGGAUCCUGGCGGUGUGAGUGGGGCGCCCCUGUGGAGCAAGGGUGGAAGGUGCGUGGCAGGUCCUGUCCCGGAGGAGUGGAGUUAAGGGUCCUGGCGUGGCUGUUUUCCUGCAUGGAAGAUGGAGAUCCUGGGAGCUGUGAUGAGGAGGAGCAGAGCCAGCAGGUAGGCCUGGGGUGUUGUGCUGUCUUGGCUCUGUUUGUGUUUGCUUAGGUGGCUGGCUGGCUUUGGUGUGUAAGAGGUUUGUGUUGGUGAUGUGGCAGGCUUGUUUGCUGGUGGUCUUGUGGUGGGGCUUGUCUUUUUUUUUUGGUUAGGAGGCUGGUGGUAGAAAGUGGCUUGGGUGGUUUCGGUGUGGUAGGUGGAGUUGGCUUUGUGGUGUGCUGGUUGUUGGGUUUGGUGGUGGUUUUUCUUGGGAGCUGUCUGGCUUUAUUUGGUUGUUGGCAGUACAGUGGCAGGCUGGUGUGGCGGUCUCUUUUGUCUUCUGGUGGCCUUUGGUGUGUGUGUUUUUUGUUUUGAGGCUGGUGGAGGGAAUGUCUUGUGGCUGGUUGUGUUGGGUAGUAGUGUGGUGUUUGUUUUGGAGCUGUGUGGUGAACAGCCAAGAGCAGAGCCUGCCCUGGGGGUGGGCUGUGCUCUUGGCUGGUGGUGGGGGGCUGUGCAGUGGGGAUUGCACUAUCUCAAAGAGAUUAUUUUUUUUUGGGUGGGAGGUGGGGAUGGUCAGUCUCGGAA